GAUGAACGCUGGCGGCGUGCCUAAUACAUGCAAGUCGAGCGAACGGACGAGAAGCUUGCUUCUCUGAUGUUAGCGGCGGACGGGUGAGUAACACGUGGAUAACCUACCUAUAAGACUGGGAUAACUUCGUGAAACCGGAUCUAAUACCGGAUCAUAUUUUGAACCGCAUGGUUCAAAAGUGCAUGACGGUCUUGCUGUCACUUAUAGCUGGAUCCGCGCUGCAUUAGCUAGUUGGUAAGGUAACGGCUUACCAAGGCAACGAUGCAUAGCCGACCUGAGAGGGUGAUCAGCCACACUGGAACUGAGACACGGUCCAGACUCCUACGGGAGGCAGCAGUAGGGAAUCUUCCGCAAUGGGCGAAAGCCUGACGGAGCAACGCCGCGUGAGUGAUGAAGGUCUUCGGAUCGUAAAACUCUGUUAUUAGGGAAGAACAUAUGUGUAAGUAACUGUGCACAUCUUGACGGUACCUAAUCAGAAAGCCACGGCUAACUACGUG
rnacentral:rRNA from 1 species